rnacentral:rRNA from 1 species
CCCUCGGGGCGCAGCAGUGGGGAAUAUUGCACAAUGGGGGAAACCCUGAUGCAGCGACGCCGCGUGAGUGAAGAAGUAAUUCGUUAUGUAAAGCUCUAUCAGCAGGGAAGAAAAUGACGGUACCUGAGUAAGAAGCCCCGGCUAACUACGUGCCAGCAGCCGCGGUAAUACGUAGGGGGCAAGCGUUAUCCGGAAUCACUGGGUGUAAAGGGAGCGUAGACGGCUGUGCAAGCCUGAAGUGAAAGGCGGGUGCCCAACCCCCGGACUGCUUUGGAAACUGUAUGGCUGGAGUGCAGGAGAGGUAA